rnacentral:rRNA from 1 species
UACGAAGGGGGCUAGCGUUGCUCGGAAUUACUGGGCGUAAAGCGCACGCAGGCGGCUUUCUAAGUCGGGGGUGAAAUCCUGGAGCUCAACUCCAGAACUGCCUUCGAUACUGGAAAGCUCGAGUCCGGGAGAGGUGAGUGGAACUGCGAGUGUAGAGGUGGAAUUCGUAGAUAUUCGCAAGAACACCAGUGGCGAAGGCGGCUCACUGGCCCGGUACUGACGCUGAGGUGCGAAAGCGUGGGGAGCAAACAGG